rnacentral:rRNA from 1 species
AUGAACGCUAGCUACAGGCUUAACACAUGCAAGUCGAGGGGCAGCAUGAACUUAGCUUGCUAAGUUUGAUGGCGACCGGCGCACGGGUGAGUAACACGUAUCCAACCUGCCGAUGACUCGGGGAUAGCCUUUCGAAAGAAAGAUUAAUACCCGAUGGCAUAGUUCUUCCGCAUGGUAGAACUAUUAAAGAAUUUCGGUCAUCGAUGGGGAUGCGUUCCAUUAGGUUGUUGGCGGGGUAACGGCCCACCAAGCCUUCGAUGGAUAGGGGUUCUGAGAGGAAGGUCCCCCACAUUGGAACUGAGACACGGUCCAAACUCCUACGGGAGGCAGCAGUGAGGAAUAUUGGUCAAUGGACGAGAGUCUGAACCAGCCAAGUAGCGUGAAGGAUGACUGCCCUAUGGGUUGUAAACUUCUUUUAUACGGGAAUAAAGUGAGGCACGUGUGCCUUUUUGUAUGUACCGUAUGAAUAAGGAUCGGCUAACUCCGUGCCAGCAGCCGCGGUAAUACGGAGGAUCCGAGCGUUAUCCGGAUUUAUUGGGUUUAAAGGGAGCGUAGGCGGACGCUUAAGUCAGUUGUGAAAGUUUGCGGCUCAACCGUAAAAUUGCAGUUGAUACUGGGUGUCUUGAGUACAGUAGAGGCAGGCGGAAUUCGUGGUGUAGCGGUGAAAUGCUUAGAUAUCACGAAGAACUCCGAUUGCGAAGGCAGCCUGCUGGACUGUAACUGACGCUGAUGCUCGAAAGUGUGGGUAUCAAACAGGAUUAGAUACCCUGGUAGUCCACACAGUAAACGAUGAAUACUCGCUGUUUGCGAUAUACAGUAAGCGGCCAAGCGAAAGCGUUAAGUAUUCCACCUGGGGAGUACGCCGGCAACGGUGAAACUCAAAGGAAUUGACGGGGGCCCGCACAAGCAGUGGAGUAUGUGGUUUAAUUCGAAGCAACGCGAAGAACCUUACCAGGUCUUGACAUCCGAUGCAUAACACAGAGAUGUGUGAAAUCCUUCGGGACAUCGAGACAGGUGGUGCAUGGUUGUCGUCAGCUCGUGUCGUGAGAUGUUGGGUUAAGUCCCGCAACGAGCGCAACCCUUAUUGCCAGUUACUACGUUAAGAGGACUCUGGCGAGACUGCCGUUGACAAAACGGAGGAAGGUGGGGAUGACGUCAAAUCAUCAUGCCCCUUAUGAUCUGGGCUACACACGUGCUACAAUGGACAGAGCAGAGGGAAGCGAAGCCGCGAGGUGGAGCGAAACCCAGAAAACUGUUCUCAGUUCGGACUGCAGUCUGCAACUCGACUGCACGAAGUUGGAAUCGCUAGUAAUCGCGAAUCAGCAUGUCGCGGUGAAUACGUUCCCGGGCCUUGUACACACCGCCCGUCACACCAUGAGAGUUGGGGAUACCCGAAGCCUGUGAGCCAACAUAUCUAUGAGGCAGCAGUCGAAGGUAGAAUCAAUGAUUGGGGUG